GGAGUGGCGGACGGGUGAGUAACACGUGGGUAACCUACCCAUCAGAGGGGGAUAACACUUGGAAACAGGUGCUAAUACCGCAUAACAGUUUGUGCCGCAUGGCAUAAGAGUGAAAGGCGCUUUCGGGUGUCGCUGAUGGAUGGACCCGCGGUGCAUUAGCCAGUUGGUGAGGUAACGGCUCACCAAGGCCACGAUGCAUAGCCGACCUGAGAGGGUGAUCGGCCACACUGGGACUGAGACACGGCCCAGACUCCUACGGGAGGCAGCAGUAGGGAAUCUUCGGCAAUGGACGAAAGUCUGACCGAGCAACGCCGCGUGAGUGAAGAAGGUUUUCGGAUCGUAAAACUCUGUUGUUAGAGAAGAACAAGGACGUUAGUAACUGAACGUCCCCUGACGGUAUCUAACCAGAAAGCCACGGCUAACUACGUGCCAGCAGCCGCGGUAAUACGUAGGUGGCAAGCGUUGUCCGGAUUUAUUGGGCGUAAAGCGAGCGCAGGCGGUUUCUUAAGUCUGAUGUGAAAGCCCCCGGCUCAACCGGGGAGGGUCAUUGGAAACUGGGAGACUUGAGUGCAGAAGAGGAGAGUGGAAUUCCAUGUGUAGCGGUGAAAUGCGUAGAUAUAUGGAGGAACACCAGUGGCGA
rnacentral:rRNA from 1 species